UCGCUCGCUCUAGGGGAAGCCAGCCGCCGAGUCUUGAGGACUCUCAGCAGCCUGUGCAGAAGCCCACAGAGAAGAACCACCUGCCGGCCACGUGGAUGGGUCACCUCCAGCGUGCCACAUCUGACCGCCUCAACAGAGAGCCACCUGCCAGAACCGCCCAACUGAGCCCUGAAGCCUAACGCACAAGAACCAUGAGGAGAAGAGAUGCCCCACUUUAUGGACUUAAGCAACAUCCCUGUGUGCAUGGAGCUCAGCGGCGGGCGGCGAGCAGAGAUAGAGGACCUAGCGCCCUGUCCCUCAGCUGAUCACCUGUCCCCGCCGAUGGCCACGCCCUCGUAGACGCCAUCCGUGGUCCGAGAGAUGAUAUUGUUGAGCUCGUUGGACAUGCCGCCCGAACGCGAGACAUAGGCCACGCUGCCGGGGCGGUACAGCUUGGAGGCCAGGAUGUUGUCCAGCAUCCCACCCGUGUUCCCGAUCUUAAAGCACCCGGGCUUGAUGCCACCAACCUGCAGGGGCGGAAACCGCGGUCAGGGAGGAGGGUGGGCUGAUUGACCAUAGAGCUCGGGGGGUGGUCACAGAGCCCGGGAUUACCCGCCCAGCCCACCC